GAUGAACGCUAGCGGGAGGCUUAACACAUGCAAGUCGUGGGGCAGCACGGGGUAGCAAUAUCCUGGUGGCGACCGGCGCACGGGUGAGUAACGCGUAUGCAACCUACCCAGUACAGGGGGAUAGCCCGGAGAAAUUCGGAUUAAUACCCCAUAAUGAUAUUAAUAGGCAUCUUUUAAUAUUUAAAGCUACGGCGGUACUGGAUGGGCAUGCGUAAGAUUAGCUAGUUGGUAGGGUAACGGCCUACCAAGGCUCCGAUCUUUAGGGGUCCUGAGAGGGUGAUCCCCCACACUGGUACUGAGACACGGACCAGACUCCUACGGGAGGCAGCAGUGAGGAAUAUUGGUCAAUGGGCGCAAGCCUGAACCAGCCAUCCCGCGUGAAGGAAGAAGGCGCUAUGCGUUGUAAACUUCUUUUCCGGAGGAAUAAAAUUUUGUACGAGUACAGGACUGAAGGUACUCCGGGAAUAAGCAUCGGCUAACUCCGUGCCAGCCGCCGCCGUAAAAC
rnacentral:rRNA from 1 species